AAUCUCCCACUCCGGACUUGCAGUACAUGGUAUGGAGUAUGCAUUUGGAGCCCAUGAGUACCCAACAAGUGGAGUGUUUGAGGUGGUCGCC